rnacentral:rRNA from 1 species
AACGAACGCUGGCGGCAUGCCUAACACAUGCAAGUCGAACGAGACCUUCGGGUCUAGUGGCGCACGGGUGCGUAACGCGUGGGAACCUGCCCUUAGGUUCGGAAUAACUCCCCGAAAGGGGUGCUAAUACCGGAUAAUGUCUUCGGACCAAAGAUUUAUCGCCUUUGGAUGGGCCCGCGUUGGAUUAGCUAGUUGGUAGGGUAAAAGCCUACCAAGGCGACGAUCCAUAGCUGGUCUGAGAGGAUGAUCAGCCACACUGGGACUGAGACACGGCCCAGACUCCUCCGGGAGGCAGCAGUGGGGAAUAUUGGACCAUGGGCGAAAGCCUGAUCCAGCAAUGCCGCGUGAGUGAUGAAGGCCUUAGAGUUGUAAAGCUCUUUUAACCGGGAUGAUAAUGACAGUACCGGGAGAAUAAGCUCCGGCUAACUCCGUG